CGAACUGUGUGCGAAAUCAGAAGAAAGAUUUAAUGGGCAGAGGAGAAAAGAACUCCGAUUAAUGGAGAAAAAAAAGAAGGAAAAAAAAACAAACAAGCAAACAUUGACAUCAAUCGAACGACCCACUAAAUCUUUUUCGAAUAAACGAUCUUCCUUUCGAUUUUUGGCCCAAUCCCAAUAAAGUGGUGACAAGCCAAAAAUAUAGUGUAUCAUAUUUAUUAUUAAAUUGAUGAUGAUGAUGAAAAAUGAAAGAAAAAAAAAAAAUAAUAAUGGAAAGAAAUAAGAAAAGAGAGAGACGAUGAAAGAUACGAAAAGAGAUUUGUGAGGGAGCGAUUUAUUGAAACGAGAACAAGAUCAAUUUGUCGUUUGCGUUUCUUCACCUUUGUAUGUAUAGCAAACGAAUGGAUAUAUUUAUUGCGAGUAAAUAGUAUAAUAUUAUUGGCGAUUACUAAUAAAUAUUAUUACUCUGUAUAAUCAUUGUUACAUUGUUCCUCGGUUUAUCACGCGCACGGUGAAACAAGAAGAAAGGAUGAUGAUGAAAAUAAAAAAAAAAAAAUGAAGAGGAGGAAGAAGAGAAUUUAUUUAAAAAAUUACAAACGAACAAACAAACAAACAAAUAUGAUACAAAGAUGCGAGAGAGAAAAUGAAAAAUAACAAAAGAUAACGAAACGAAAAAAAAAAAAAUUAAAAUUAAAAAAAGAAAAAUAAUAAAAACGGUAAAUAAGUAAAACGAUUUACGAAAGAUCCAUUUGUACAAUCAUUGCGUCAUUAAAAUAUGAUUAUUCAUUAUGGAAAUAUUGACGGUUUUGCUUCUCUCUUUCCUUCCCAAUCUCUCAUCCCAAUUGAAAAUCUGAAAGAGUAAUAAAAACGAUCGAUGAAUUUAUUUAUUUUGAUUAUUUCUGUUUCAUUCCCAAUCACGUUUCGUGCUCGCAAAGUAUUGGAAAAUUCGUCGUUCAUGGAACGGUGAAUCGGCGACUCGGGCGAGAAAAAUCGAUUCUAUGCAAAGGAUUAAGUUGCACGUGCCGACACUCGAUGCUCAUUCGAAGCGAAGAAAUAAAGAGAAUCGAAAAGGAACACCCGGGCCCCGAAAUUGUUGAUCGCCGACCGAUUAACCAGAUUCAUGAAACUCAUUUUGGAGUUUUUUUUUUAAUAUUCUUCAUUCUUAGUCAUUCUCAGUUAUCGCUCAAAGGUUUCGAAUCGUUCGAACUUCUCUCACACCUGCGAGAUAAAUGCUGUCAAUAAGACGAUAAGAGAUAAUUUUCGUUUUCUAUAAUCACGCACUUCGAAUUGUCCGCUAGACCGGCGAAUCGCAGGUACUCGUGAUUCAAAACUCGCUCCUCCAACGUCGCGACGAGUGUUGAGUUAAACUAUGAAAUAAUCAUCUGCGAAGUUAGGUGAUCGAAAAACUACGGAUUUUUAUUUCGCAGUGCAAAGUCCAUUGAGAAGGCAAGUAAGUUUAAUAAAGCGAUUUUUACGCAACGAAAUUCCAACGGCGUGAUCUUUGAUCGACCUUUUUUCUCAUCUGAUUUGAAAUCGCGACCGAAAGACCGAUUGUUCAGGAGGAUCUUGCCUCCUGAACAAAAUUAUCGUGCUAAAGAGCUUCACUUGGGAUUUUAUAAAAGUGAAAAAAAUUGAAGAAAUUCUGACUCCCGAAAGAAAUAAAUGCCGAGCAGCUCUUACGAUUUUUCUCAAUCCCCAGAAUGAAGAACCUCGCGAUCACUCUCGUCGCUUUUAUUUCUUGCGUUUCGUCGGCGGCUCGGGGAAAAUCAAAUUGCGUGUGGUACGGUGAAUGCGGCAAUGCGAGAGGCUUCAAACAACCCUGUCCAGCCAACCACACAGCCCUUCAACUCGACCAUGAAGAAGCGGAAAAAAUACUUUUGAAAAGAUGCCCACAUUUGUUUAAUGGCUCAGAACCUCCAAAAACCUGCUGCGAUCCGAAUCAGAUAAUGACGAUGGACAAGAGUCUCCAAAUGGCCGAGGCAAUAUUCGGCAGGUGCGAGAGUUGUGCGAAAAAUUUAUUUCGAUCCAUCUGCGAUUUUACUUGUGCCUCUGAUCAGGCCAGAUUCAUGAAGGCUACGAAUUGGGCCACCGAACCGAGCACCGGAAAAGAAUACAUAACGAGCGUGCAGAUUUAUAUAUCGCAAGAAUACACGCACGCGACUCGAGAAUCUUGCAGUCGAGUGAUCAAUCCAAUGACCGGAACCUCCGCCCUCGACAUUGCCUGCGGAGGCAACACCGGAAAUAAGUGUACCGCGGAACGAUGGUUCAACUUCAUGGGAAACUCGACCAUCAAUGUGAUGGCACCGUUCGAUUUAGUGUAUUGUUACCACGGCGAGGAUGCUUUAGCGCCAGGUCCACCGUUGAAUCCGCCAACGAAGCUGUGUAGCGAAGCCUACGAUAACUCUUCGUCGGCGUGUAGUUGCGUCGAUUGUCCGGGUUCGUGCUCGUCUAAUGAUCAAUGGGAAAUAAGCACGCCGAGCUUCGAAUUCUGGGGAAUCAGUGGCUACGGACUCAUCGUCGGAGCUGUCGUCGUUUUCAUCAGCUCCUGCUGGAGCAUCGUUCUCAUUUAUUUACGAAAACGUACAGCACGAAUCGACAGACCGAUCGUGACGAUUCGACCGGUCGAUCAAAGGCCUACGAGAAAUCUUAAUACCGUCACCGAAAGGAUUUUCGUAGCUUGGGGACGCGCUUUUGCACAAAGUCCUGCAGUAGUUUUACUGUCAACGGCCUUCAUCGUCAUAGCUUUGAGUAUUGGAAUCAAGUUUCUCAUCGUGACAGUUAAUCCGAUCGAAAUAUGGGCUUCGCCGACCAGUCAAUCGAGAAUCGACAAGGAUUAUUUCGACAAACAUUUUCAGCCGUUUUACAGAACGGAACAAAUUUAUCUGAAAUCUGUUGGCCUCGAAAAAAUAACUCACGAGACGAGCAUCGGGACUCUCGUCUUCGGACCGGUAUUUCAAAAGGAAUUUUUGCUCGCAGUUUACCAUCUCCAGGAUAAAAUAAUGCAGCUGGGCCAAGACACCGAUGAAGGCCUCGAGAAAAUUUGUUACGCUCCAGUGCAGAAUGAAUUCACCGGACCUGUGACCCUCCCACUCUGCACGGUUCAAAGUGUUUGGGGAUACUUCCAAAACGACUUGGAUUUGUUCAACAGUACCACAAACGACAACGGUUACGAAGAAAAUUAUUUGGACCAGUUGUAUCUCUGCAUCCAGAAUUCUUACAAUCCGGAGUGUCUGUCCACGUACAAUGGUCCUGUUAUUCCGGACAUCACGUUCGGAGGGUACUUGCAACCGGACCAGAUAACCGUGGAAGUUUCUGACUACAUCAACGCCACAGGUUUGGUGCUCUCCUUCAUGGUCAGAAAUUCACUAAACGAGACAGAAAUCGAACCAAUGUUAAAGUGGGAACAAAAGUAUUUAGAUUUUCUUAAAAACUGGACAGAAAACGAGAAACCAGAGUACAUGGAAAUAGCGUACAGUGCUGAAAGGUCGAUCGAGGAUGAGCUGAAAAGGACUUCUAUUGCAGAGUCGAGAACCAUGGUCAUCAGCUACCUCGUGAUGUUUGUUUACAUCGCUUGUGCUUUGGGAAAAUUCAAAAGAUCUGUCACAUGUUUCGUCACAACCAGGUUUUUUCUUAGUAUCGGUGGAAUUGUCAUGGUUCUCGCUUCUGUUUCUGCGUCCCUAGGAAUUUUCGGGUACAUCGGUGUCCCCACCACUUUGCUCACGAUUGAGGUUAUACCGUUCCUCGUCCUGGCAGUGGGUGUUGACAAUAUAUUUAUUUUGGUACAAACCCACGAUAGGUAUCCACGUAAAUCGAGCGAAACCGUGGUCGAUCACAUGGGACUUAUUUUGGGAAUGGUUGGUCCGUCAAUGCUGCUUACGAGCAUCUCCGAAUGUUUGUGCUUCGCGAUCGGAACACUGUCAAAGAUGCCUGCUGUAAAUACUUUUGCAAUGUACGCAUCUGUCUCGAUACUGAUUAAUUUUCUACUUCAAAUAACCGCGUUUGUUAGUCUCUUGGCUCUUGACACACGUAGAUACGAGGGCGGCCGCUUCGACAUGCUUUGUUGCGUCGGCUUGGAUUCCCAAUCAAUCAUAAAUACCGAUAAAGGAUCUGUGCAGAAAUUCUUUGAGGAUUAUUACACACCUUUUCUCAUGAAGAAACGGGUCAGAAUCGUUAUUUUAACGAUUUUCGUUGCUGUACUCACGAUUCAUAUCGUCGUCGCUCCUCAAAUCGAAAUUGGCCUCGAACAAAAACUCUCAAUGCCUGAAGAUUCCUACGUGCUCAAAUAUUUUCAGUAUAUGGACGAUUUGUUGUCCAUGGGGCCGCCAGUUUAUUUCGUGGUGACCAGCGGAUUGAAUUACAGUCUCACGAGCGUUCAAAAUGCAAUUUGUGGCGGACCACAAUGCAACAGUAAUUCCUUGUACUCCCAACUGUUCAGCGCAGCCAAUCAAUCCUUGCAAUCUUAUCUCGCGAAACCGGGAUCUUCGUGGCUUGACGAUUAUUUCGAUUGGACGUCGGUCCAAUCUUGUUGCAAAUAUUUUCCCAAUAAUGGAUCGUUCUGUCCCCACGAUAGCGCUGGCUGUCUAUCUUGUCAAAUCGACAAAGCUAACAUGUCAUCGAGACCAACAACUGAAAGUUUUCGAAAAUAUAUCAGUUAUUUCGUAAGUGAUAUUCCGGACGCUUACUGUGCCAAGGGUGGAAGAGCAGCUUAUUACGAUGCAUUGACGUAUUUCUAUGACGAGUAUGGAAGGAUCGAUGUUGGUGACACGUAUUUCAUGAGUUAUCACAGUCCUUUGAAAAAAUCCAGUGACUGGUACAAGGCUCUUGAAGCUGCGAGAUUCGUUGCAAAAAAUAUAACUAACACGAUUAACGAGGCCAAUUUAUCGGAUGAGAAAAUUCGCGUUUUUCCAUACAGUGUAUUUUACGUGUUCUACGAGCAAUAUUUGACGAUUUGGUACGAGACUCUGGAAUCUCUUGGCUUAUCACUGUUCGUGAUAUUCGUCGUUACAUAUUUACUUACUGGAAGAUCAUUAUUCUCAGCUUUCAUAGUAUUGUUAACCGUCACAAUGAUCAUUAUAAAUCUCGCAGGAUUUAUGCAUUGGUGCAACGUCUCCUUGAAUGCAGUUUCUCUAGUAAAUUUGGUCAUGGGCGUUGGUAUUUCCGUUGAGUUUUGCAGUCACGUUGUUCAUCAUUAUUUGUAUUCCGAUGCGGAAACGAGAGUCGGGAAAAUUGCAGCGACACUCAACACAAUUGGAAGUUCGGUCUUUGCUGGAAUAACCUUGACGAAAUUGGUGGGAAUAAUCGUUUUGGCUUUUGCCAAGACUCAAAUUUUUCAAGUUUUUUAUUUCCGGAUGUAUCUUGGAAUUCUGUUGAUGGGUGCGACACAUGGUUUGAUUUUUCUGCCUGCACUCUUGAGUUUUAUAGGUCCUUUGGACAAUGCGAAUCGAGGAUUAGAAAAUGGAUAUUCAUCAACUUUUUGUAAAUAGAUCGAAUUGUAGAAAUUAAAUCAACUUUUAAUGUACGAACUGUGAAGAAAUUUUACUAGAGCUCAGACGGAACAACCAAUGAAUUCAAUUUUCGUAUACUAGCGAAUGGACCCUAAAAAAGAAUUUAUUUUCGACGUAGUUGAACUUCGAGGGACAAGGUUUAGGCGAACGAAAUAAAAAAGACUUUUAAAUUCGAA